rnacentral:rRNA from 1 species
GGUUAAAAAGCUCGUAGUUGGAUUUCUGUUGAGGAUGACCGUUCCGCUCUUUGAGCGCGUAUCUGGUUCAGCCUUGGCAUCCUCUUGGGGAACGCUACUGUGCUUGAUUGCAUGGGGCGGUAUUCAAGACUUUUACUUUGAGGAAAUUAGAGUGUUCACUGCAAGCGUUAGCAAUUGAAUACAUUAGCAUGGAAUAAUAAUAUAGGACCUUGGUACUAUUUUGUUGGUUUCUAGAACUAAGGUAAUGAUUAAUAGGGACAAUUGGGGGCAUUCGUAUUAACGCGUCAGAGGUGGAAUUCUUAGAUUGCGUUACGACGAACUACUGCGAAAGCAUUUGCCAAGGAUGUUUUCAUUGAUCAAGAACGAAAGUAUGGGGAUCGAAGACGCUUAGAUACCGUCGUAGUCUAUACCAUAAACUAUGCCAACUAGAGAUUGGAGGUCGUUCUCUUUAUGACUCCUUCAGCACCUUAUGAGAAAUCAAAGUCUUUGGGUUCCGGGGGGAGUAUGGUCGCAAGGCUGAAACUUAAAGGAAUUGACGGAAGGGCACCACCACGAGUGGAGCCUGCGGCUUAAUUUGACUCAACACGGGAAAACUUACCACGUCCAGACAUAGUAAAGAUUGACAGAUUGAUAGCUCUUUCU